CAAGCAACCCCUUCAGUGGCUCCAGGACCACUUCGGACCAUUAUAAUCUAUUCUUUAAUUAAAAUUUUAUGUCAGAUAUCAGAAGGGCUGGCAGGUACCAAAUGGGAUGAGAUUCCUGCAGGGAUGGGGAGUGGUCCACCUGAGGGUGCCAACGGCCAAAGGGUCACACGUGGCUCAACCCCAGCCGUGACCACUACAUAGGGUUUUGGCUCACUGUUGCCACAGGGGAGUUGAGAUAAGCGAUUGCUAUCAAGAAGUUUAGGAAUCUGGGACUUUUAUAUCCAAUACACUAGAUCUCUCUCUCUCUCUUUCUCUCUCUCUCUCUCUCUCUCUCUCUCUCUCACCUCCUCCUUGAAGCCAUCUGCCAUCCUAGAUGAAGUGAUCUCUCUGCUCCUUGGCAUGUUACCUGCCCGCCCCUGGGACAGGGAUCAGUAUCUUUUUUGAAGGCUCUUCUUGCUGUUGUCACCCUUUGGAUUGUUGAGAAGCCCCCCCCCACCCCCCGCUGGGACAUGCAGUCCCCGUGGGCCUGCUUCAUGGGGAAGUGCUCUCCAGAGCUCCCCACACCUCUCCCCCUGCACUGUGGCUCAUGUCUUAGCCUGCCCCGUGGGGUCACCUGACUUGGACAAACCUGAGCCAGGACCCCAGGGCUGGGGAGUUUUGUCUGUUAAUUUGUUGUUGUCUUUUCCCCCCCAGCAUCAUGGGGCACCUGGGAUUCCUGUUCCAGAAAGGACUUUUAUCCUGGAGAUCCUUCACCUAGCACAGGAGUCUGUGAAUCUUUUGUUCCCAUCAUGGCAGAGAAAACAAGAGUCAAAUCGUCAAGCAGCCCCGGGCAGAACCUUCCCUACACUGGAUGGCGAUGCUGCUCGGAUGAGUGUCCAGCAGGCACUAAAAUAGGCACCUGGGAGAUCAAUAGUAUGAGGCCCACUUCACAGAAAGGAAAAGCUAAGGCAGCCAUGUGACAUGUCUAAAGUCACAAACUAACUAGAGGGCACAGCCGUGAACUCAACUUCUGUCCAUCUGACUCUGGGUCCUCCCGUCCACCUUUACUCUGGGCCCUUGAAGCCCCUGUCAAAGUCCUUAAAAUGAAGGGUCUCUACAUAAAGUGUAUCCUGGAUUGGAUCCUGGGAAGAAAUAAUGCUAAUGAAACCUUAGUGGGAUCUGAGUCCACAGUUCAGCUACAGCAAGGUCCCGGCAUCAGCUCCCAGGUUGUGACACGUGCCCCAUCGUUAUGGGAUAUGAUAAAUAAAUAUGAAAUGUGAAUAUAAAACUGGGAGCUAGCGAAGGGUGCGUGGAAACUGUUACCAUCUUCACAACUUCUCUGCAAGUCUAAAAUGAUUCCAAAAUUCUAAAGGGGAUUUAAAAAUAAAGAAGAGACAAAAGCUGAAGCAGUCAAGCACAUAAACCAGGAACACACCUGAACCUGGUGUAAGACCCGGGGGGCGGGCAGUGACCUCUCUGAGCUCACAGAGGAGCAAUCUCAGGUGGUUUCUGAGCACAGCAUGGAAUCCCUGAGUGGCAAAGCCCUUCCUUUUCUAGUUUCUUUUGAACUUCCUGCUUUCCUCAAGGAGAAAGUCUCAUCUGGGUGCCCGCCCGUCUUGGCCACCACCGCAGACUCACUAGCUUUCCUUCAUAAGGAAGAACAGGCCUCAGGUGUGGAGCCUGCUGCAAGCCGCAGUCUUGGUGGAAUUCAACACCUGAAUGAUUCUGUUAGGUGUAUUUUUACUUUGUAUUUGUGAUGAGUUAGGUUUUCUAUGCGUGAUUGUGAUAUUAAUUGUUCUGUUUUUAUUAAACUUAUUAGUGCAUAUUAAUUAUACCAGAUAAUGGGUUUCAUUGUGACAAUUUCAUACAUGCAUGUAAUAUAGCUUGAUCAAAUGCACCUCCCUAUUUUCCUCUUUCCCCUCUCCCCCUGGUAUCUAUUCCCUUCCUUGGUCAUCUCUCUUCUACUUUCAUGUCAUCUUUUGUUCCCCGAAAUUCCACAUAUGAAAGGAAAUGUGAUACUUGUCUUUCUGACUUAUUUUGCUUAACAUGUUGAUCUGCAAUUCCAUCCAUUUUCCUGAAAAUGACAUGAUUUUGUUCUUCUUUAUGGCUGAAUAGUACUCCUCUGUGUGUGUGUAUGUGUGUGUGUGCAGAUAGAUUGAGACAGAUGAUAAAUAUUACAUUUUCUUUAUCCACGCAUCGGCUGAUGGGCAUCAAGGCGGAUCCCAUAACUCAGCUACUGUGAAUAGUGUUGCCAUGAUAUGGCACACAGUAUCUCUAUAAUAUUCUGGCUUAUGAUUCCUUUGGAUAUGUACCCGGGAGUGGCAUGGCCGCAUUAUCUGGUGGCUCUGAUUUUAGUUUAUUGAGGACUUCCCCACUGUUUUCAAUAGGGCUUGUCCUUAUUAACAUUCCCACCAACAAUACACAAGUGUGCCUUUUUCUCUGUAUCCUCCCUAUUUUAUUUUAUUUUAUUUUAUUUUUUGUUUUCUUGAUAAUAGCCAUUCUGACUGCAUGAGAUGGAAUCUCAUUGUCGUUUCAAUUUGUAUUUCCCUGAUCUCUAAAGAUUAUGAGCAUUUUAUAUGUCUAUUGCCCCUUUUGCUGCUUCUUUUUGAGAAGUGUCUGUUCUGUUCAUUUGCCCACUUAUCAACUGGAUUUCCUGUCUUUUUCCUGGGGUUACAUAGUUUGGCUUCUUUAUAUUUUCUGGACGUUAAUCCUUUGUCCGAUGAAGAGUGGCAAGACUUUUCCCGUCCUGUAGGUUUCCUCCUCACUUUGGUGCCUAUUUCCUUUCUCACACAGAAGCAUCUAAUUUGAUGGAAUCCCAUUUGUCAAUUUUUGCCGCUAUUUCCUGCACUACUUGGGACACGCUCAGGACAUCAGUUCCUAUACCCAUAUCUUCAAGUGUUUCCCUUAUGUUUUCCUUUAAUAGUUUCAAAUUUUUCCAGUCCUGCUGAAGGUCUUCGAUCUGUUUUGAGUUGAUUUUUGUGCAGGGUGAGGGUUAGGGGCUGAGUUUCCAUCUUCUACCAGUAGAAGCCCAAUGUUCCCAGCACCGUGUGUUAAAGAGGCUCUCUUUUCUCUAAGACAAGAAGCAGAUGGCUGAAGAGGCAUGUGUUUAUUCCGGGGUCAUCUAUGCUGCUCCAUGGUCUCGUGUCUGUUUUUAUGCCGGUGCCAUGCUGCUUGUCACAGUGGCUCUGGACGAUGUUUUGAAACCAGAUACUGUGAUGCUCCCAGCAGGGAUCUUUUGCUCAGGAUUGAUUUAGCAACUCAGGGCCACUCAUAUUUCCAUGUGAAUUUUAGGAUGGCUUUUUCUAGUUUUGUGAAAUAGGUCAUUGCUAUUUUUUUUAUAAAAAGAGAGAGGGAGAGAGAGAAUUUUUUAAUAUUUAUUUAUUUAUUUUUUUUAGUUUUCGGCAGACACAACAUCUUUGUUUGUAUGUGGUGCUGAGGAUCGAACCCGGGCUGCAUGCAUGCCAGGCGAGCGCGCUACCGCUUGAGCCACAUCCCCAGCCAGGUCAUUGCUAUUUUAAUGGGAAUUGCAUUGAAUCUGUAGAUUGCUUUCAGAAGUAUGGCACUUAAUAAUAUUAGUUAUCUUAACCCAGGAACAUGGAAUGUCUUAUCAUCUUCAAACAUCUUCUCUAAUUUAUUUCUUCAGUGUUAUAAUUCUCAUUGUAGAGGUCUUUCAUUCCAUAUGUGUCUAGAAAUCUAUCCGUUUCUUCUAGAGCUUCAAACUUAUUGGCAUAUAACUUUUGAUAAUAUUCCUCAAUGAUCCUCUGGAUUCAAUAUCUUAUUUUUCACCUCUAGUUUUAUUUAUUUGGAUCUUUUCUCGAUCUUUUGAUUAAUUUGGCUGAGAGGUUGUCAAUUUUCUUUAUCUUUAAGUGUCAGUGAUCCUUUGUAUUACUGUUUUAUUCUCUAUUUCACUUAUUUCUAUUCUUAUCUUUAUUAUUUCUUUCCUUCUCUUGAUUUAGGGUUUAAUUUGUUCUUGUUUUUCUAAGGACUUAAGAUGCAUCAUUAAGUUAUUUUGUUUGAUUUCUCUGCUUUUCUAAUGUAGAUGUCAUAGCUAUGAACCUUCCUCUUGAACUGCUUUUGCUGUGUCCCACAGACUCUGUUGUAUUUCAACCUUCCUUUAAUUAUAGAAAUGUUUGAUAUCCCCCAAUUUUUUGAAUGACCCAUUGCUUGUUCAAAAGUGUACUACUGUUCAGUCUACAUGUGUUUGUAUAAGUUCUGCAAUUUUUUUUGCUGUUGAUUUCUAAUUUCAUUCCAUUAUGUUCUAAAAAGAUGAAAGAAAUUGUUUCAAGAUUUUUUUUUUGAUAUUUGUUAAACUGUACUCUGUAGCUUAAAGUGUGAUCUAUUGUAGAGAAAAUUUGGUGUGCUGAUGAAAAUUAUGUACCUUCUGUGUCCAUUGGAUAAAAUAUUCUAUAGGUCUAUUAAAUUCAUUUGAUUUAUAUUGUAAUUUAAAUCGUAUUUCUUUGGUUUUGUUUUGGUUUGUCUGAAAGCUCCAUCUAUUAUUGUAUUGGGGUCUGUCUCUUCCUUUAAGUCCUGAGUGUUUGUUUCAUAAAACUGGUUGCUCCAAUGUCCAGUGUAUGUAUUUUUAUAAUCAUUAUAUCUUCUUAACAUAUUGUUCC
rnacentral:lncRNA from 1 species